CGGCGGGCGGGGCGGGCUGUGAGGCGUGGGGCCUGGCCGUCACCCCCUCCCCGCGGCCCGGGUACGGCGGAGCGGGGGGAGCGGCCCCCGGCCGGCAGCGCGCCGAGGCCGGCUGAGGUACGUCCUCUAUGAGGAGCUGCUUCGAGGAGAUUCCAGAGUCAGCCCCAACAGCAGACGGAGGCGGCAGAACGGAGAGAAGGUGGCAAUCGCUCAGUUUACGCCAGGUGCAAUUUUUUUUCUGAGGAAGGAACUGCAGAUAACCAGGGUAAGGAGACAGGAGCGUCGGCGUAGCCGAGUCUUAUUUUCAACAGAAAGGAAGCUGCCAUUUGGGGUAAAAUUUUCGUAUAGCAAGUAACUUGGUAGAACUGCUUGGCUUCUGUGAUGAAAUGCCCGGGACUAGCGUGGCAGCUCAGGUGAUGGCACAGCGCAGUAAGUUUUAAAAUUUUUAGUUUCUUCAAAAUGUUACUUCCAGACAAAUUAAUUCAGUAGUUUUUUUCUUCCUUUUAAAUUUAAGCUAAAAAAAUGUAAACUGUAAAUCUGUUAAACCAGAUGCCCUUUAUGAAGAGCCAGUAUAGUCAGCCUCCUUGACUGCACACUGCAGUGAAAAAUACCCGUCCUAGACCAGGCAGGAGCCCUCAGCCCGAGCGCAGGCCGCGCAGGGACCGACCCCGGCUCCCCUCCGCAGGCAGCCCUCUUCUCCGACGCACCAGCUGUGCCUUCCUGCCCUCCUGGCA